rnacentral:rRNA from 1 species
UGCUGGAGGUAUCAGAAGUGCGAAUGCUGACAUAAGUAACGAUAAAGCGGGUGAAAAGCCCGCUCGCCGGAAGACCAAGGGUUCCUGUCCAACGUUAAUCGGGGCAGGGUGAGUCGACCCCUAAGGCGAGGCCGAAAGGCGUAGUCGAUGGGAAACAGGUUAAUAUUCCUGUACUUGGUGUUGCUGCGAAGGGGGGACGGAGAAGGCUAUGUUGGCCGGGCGACGGUUGUCCCGGUUUAAGCGUGUAGGUGUGUGUUCCAGGCAAAUCCGGUUCACUUUACACUGAGGCGUGACGACGAGGCACUACGGUGCUGAAGCAACAAAUGCCCUGCUUCCAGGAAAAGCCUCUAAGCAUCAGGCAACACGAAAUCGUACCCCAAACCGACACAGGUGGUCAGGUAGAGAAUACCAAGGCGCUUGAGAGAACUCGGGUGAAGGAACUAGGCAAAAUGGUGCCGUAACUUCGGGAGAAGGCACGCUGGCGCGUAGGUGAGGGGACUUGCUCCCGGAGCCGAGGCCAGUCGAAGAUACCAGCUGGCUGCAACUGUUUAUUAAAAACACAGCACUGUGCAAACACGAAAGUGGACGUAUACGGUGUGACGCCUGCCCGGUGCCGGAAGGUUAAUUGAUGGGGUUAUCCGCAAGGAGAAGCUCUUGAUCGAAGCCCCGGUAAACGGCGGCCGUAACUAUAACGGUCCUAAGGUAGCGAAAUUCCUUGUCGGGUAAGUUCCGACCUGCACGAAUGGCGUAAUGAUGGCCAGGCUGUCUCCACCCGAGACUCAGUGAAAUUGAAAUCGCUGUGAAGAUGCAGUGUACCCGCGGCAAGACGGAAAGACCCCGUGAACCUUUACUACAGCUUGACACUGAACACUGGUCCUUGAUGUGUAGGAUAGGUGGGAGGCUUUGAAGCGUGGACGCCAGUCUGCGUGGAGCCAUCCUUGAAAUACCACCCUUUAAUGGCUGGUGUUCUAACGUAGGCCCGUUACCCGGGCUGCGGACAGUGUCUGGUGGGUAGUUUGACUGGGGCGGUCUCCUCCCAAAGCGUAACGGAGGAGCACGAAGGUUGGCUAAUCCUGGUCGGACAUCAGGAGGUUAGUGCAAUGGCAUAAGCCAGCUUGACUGCGAGAGUGACGGCUCGAGCAGG